UGUUCGUUUGCAGACUAGAAAAAUGGCGAACAGCCAUCAAAAUACUGAUUCAAAGUACACAUCUUUCACUGGACACACAAAUGGGUGCGCGCAGCAAAAUUCAGCCCUAAUGGCGAAUGUGUGCGAACGUUCACCGGGGGAAGAGGUAUGGGACGGUAAUCUGGUGGCUUUAGCACAGUGGUCGGCAAAAGCUAAAUUGUGUUUGUGUUGGUAAGCACAAGAGAACUGCUUCGCAUGAGCAACCCAGUAGGAAAUUACGAGAAGUGAAACAAAAUUUUUAACUUAUCGGUCUUCAAUAAAAACACAUAAAUACGUAUAUUUAACACAUACCUAUGUACAUAUAUGUGCAUCGCUCAUUUACUAUAAAAGUAUCAUAAUCCCAAUAAAGCAAAAAUCGGGUUAAGUAUGCAAGAAUGUACAUUAGCUCUUUCUUAUGAUGUGUAAAAAUUUAUAUAUAUAAAUUCAAAACUUUAAAACUGGU